rnacentral:ncRNA from 1 species
UACUUGGUUGAUCCUGCCAAGGAAGCACACUUAGGUCAUAGAUUAAGCCAUGCAAGUGUUAGUUCAGGUAACGAAACUGCGAAUAGCUCAUUAAUACGCUCAGAAUCUAUUUGGCGGCGACCAACAGGUCUUAAAUGGAUAGCAGCAGCAACUCUGGUGCUAAUACAUGCGAUUGUUUCUCCAGAUGUGAAUUAUGGAGGAAAAGUUGACCUCAUCAGAGGCACGCCAUUCGACUGAGUGACCUAUCAGCUUGUACUUAGGGUCUUUACCUAGGUAGGCUAUCACGGGUAACGGGCGGUUACCGUCGGACUGCCGGAGAAGGCGCCUGAGAGAUAGCGACUAUAUCCACGGGUAGCAGCAGGCGCGAAACUUUCCCACUCGAGACUUUCGGAGGAGGUAAUGACCAGUUCCAUUGGUGCCUUUUGGUACUGUGGAUAGGGGUACGGUUUUCCACCGUACCGAAACCUAGCAGAGGGCCAGUCUGGUGCCAGCAGCUGCGGUAAUUCCAGCUCUGCGAGUUUGCUCCCAUAUUGUUGCAGUUAAAACGCCCGUAGUCUGAAUUGGCCAGCAAUGGUCGUACGUAUUUUUACGUUCACUGUGAACAAAUCAGGACGCUUAGAG